rnacentral:rRNA from 1 species
GACGAACGCUGGCGGCGUGCUUAACACAUGCAAGUCGAACGAUGACGACCGAUCUUGCUCGGUCUGAUUAGUGGCGAACGGGUGAGUAACCCGUGAGCAACCUGCCCUUCACCGUGGGAUAACCUCGGGAAAUCGGGGCUAUUACCGGCUAUGAGCUCCCGUCUCAUGGUGGGUGUGGGAAAGUUUAUCUGUUUGGGAUGGGCUCGGGCCGUCUCGGCUUGUUGGUGUGGUAGUGGUUAACCAAGGCUAUGACAGGCAGCCGGGCUGAGAGGGCGGGCGGCCACGCUAGGACUGAGACACGGCCCAGACUACUACGGGAGGCAGAGGUGGAGUAGAGUACAUAAUGGGCGAAAGGAUAGUGUAGCGAAGCCGCGUGAGGGAUGACGGGCUUCGGGUUGUAAACCACUUUCAGCAGGGAAGAAGCGAAAGUGACGGUACCGGGAGAAGAAGCGCCGGCUAACUACGUG